rnacentral:rRNA from 1 species
GACGAACGCUGGCGGCGUGCUUAACACAUGCAAGUCGAACGGAAAGGCCCUGUUUUUGUGGGGGGCUCGAGUGGCGAACGGGUGAGAAACACGGGAGUAACCGGCCCUUGACUUUGGGAUAACUCCAGGAAACUGGGGUUAUUACCGGAAAGGAGUCCCUGCUGCAUGGUGGGGGUUGGAAAGUUUCGGCGGUUGGGGAUGGACUCGCGGCUUAUCAGCUUGUUGGUGGGGUAGUGGCUUACCAAGGCUUUGACGGGUAGCCGGCCUGAGAGGGUGACCGGCCACAUUGGGACUGAGAUACGGCCCAGACUCCUACGGGAGGCAGCAGUGGGGAAUAUUGCACAAUGGGCGGAAGCCUGAUGCAGCAACGCCGCGUGCGGGAUGACGGCCUUCGGGUUGUAAACCGCUUUCGCCUGUGACGAAGCGUGAGUGACGGUAAUGGGUAAAGAAGCACCGGCUAACUACGUG